UGAAACCCCAUUUCCUCUAUGAUCACCAAAGUUAAGCAAUGUUAGGCCUGGUCAGUACCUAGAUAGGAGUCUGUUUGGGAAGACCAGGUACUGUAAG